GUGAUUCUGAUCACUAGCUGACAACAAUGUGCAACCAGCCCAGCUUCUAUGGGGAACAGUCUUCAAUACAAAUGUCCCAACAUUGAAGCUGAAUUACAAUGGAUCAUUCCUCAAGAAAGGAUGAAUUUUUGCUCUGAAGAAGGAAUCCCAUCAUUGGGAAAAUUUCUGCUCCUGCCGGGUCUUUUGAAAAACAGUCUUAAGGCCAAAUCAUGUUGACAAAGCAGCACCCUGGCCCACAGUGGGAAACUUUUGGCCUGCUUAUCUCUGAGUCCAAUAAAAAUUCAUCAGAAACAAGAGAUUACCUUUAUAGACAGAAGACACUUGAUCUCAGAAGAUAAAACCCAGCAGAUGUAAUGAGCUCACUUGUAGCUCACAGCAUAUAACGAGAACACGGCUUUAACCUUUAAACCAUUUUUUCUGUGGACCAGACAUCCAUUUGCAAUUCCUUUAUUAGAUCUGGUUACAGCCUCAAUAAAUGAGAAUGACCAAUUUCGUAACAAUAUGCAGCAGAUGUCUCAACAAUUAUACCCGAUCGGUUCGAUACAAAACUAAAUAUAGAAAGAAGUGAGGAUUAGUGAUAGGCCAGAAAAUUUUUUUUUUUUUAGGAAUUAACAGUGGAUGAGUAAAAAAGCUAAUAUAAAGGGACUAAAAAUAAUGAAAGUAAAUUAAUAAGAAAUAUAAAACCAAACAGCAAUAGUUUGCAUGGGCAUAUAAAAAGACAGCAGCAAAAAUGAGGGUGUGACCCCUGGGGGAUGAAACUGGAG